GAUGAACGCUGGCGGCGUGCCUAAUACAUGCAAGUCGAGCGAACAGACGAGGAGCUUGCUCCUCUGACGUUAGCGGCGGACGGGUGAGUAACACGUGGAUAACCUACCUAUAAGACUGGGAUAACUUCGGGAAACCGGAGCUAAUACCGGAUAAUAUAUUGAACCGCAUGGUUCAAUAGUGAAAGACGGUUUUGCUGUCACUUAUAGAUGGAUCCGCGCCGCAUUAGCUAGUUGGUAAGGUAACGGCUUACCAAGGCGACGAUGCGUAGCCGACCUGAGAGGGUGAUCGGCCAAAAUGGAACUGAGACACGGUCCAGACUCCUAAGGGAGGCAGCAGUAGGGAAUCUUCCGCAAUGGGCGAAAGCCUGACGGAGCAACGCCGCGUGAGUGAUGAAGGUCUUCGGAUCGUAAAACUCUGUUAUUAGGGAAGAACAAAUGUGUAAGGAACUAUGGACGGCUUGAAGGUAACUAAUCAGAAAGCCACGGCUAACUACGUG
rnacentral:rRNA from 1 species